GCCGAGGUAGCUCAGUCGGUAGAGCAGGGGACUGAAAAUCCCCGUGUCGGCAGUUCGAUUCUGUCCCUCGGCA
rfam:Spirochaeta sp. JC202, whole genome shotgun sequence.